GCCAGGCAUGGUGGCUCAUGCCUGUAGUUCUAGCUACUUGGGAGGCUAAGGUGGGAGGAUCCCUUGUGCCCAGGAAUUUGAGAAUGCAGUGAGCCAAGAUUUUACCACUGCACUCUAGCCUGGGCAACAAAGUGAGACCCUGUCUCAA
rfam:Homo sapiens chromosome 18, GRCh38 reference primary assembly.